rnacentral:lncRNA from 1 species
GCGGUUUGUGGGUGGGCUGUGCAGUCCUGGCGCUCUGAACGACCCGGAUGGCCCGCGCAGGCUGGCGCAGUGCCAGUGCGGUGGGUGUGGAGCCAAGGGAAGGCAUUGCCUCCUACUGCGGGAGGCCCGGGAGUCAAUUCUGCCGCCCACCUCGCGAAGACCGAGCCCUAAACUGCAAGUCGGUUCCCAGGGAAGCAGAGAAUGUACCCGGCACUGUGGUAGACAGCGGAGGAGGCACAGAUGGAAGGAUGGGGUGCCUGUCUGGCAGAGACCUUGAGGGUUUCCCUGCCCAGCUCCUGGGGAUGGAACCCAGGCCUCCUGCACACGGGGCAACUUCUCUACCCCAGGCCACACCUCC